AUUGAACGCUGGCGGAAUGCCUUACACAUGCAAGUCGAGCGGCAGCGCGGGGCAACCUGGCGGCGAGCGGCGAACGGGUGAGUAAUGCAUCGGAACAUGUCCAGUCGUGGGGGAUAGCCCGCCGAAAGGCGGAUUAAUACCGCAUACGCCCGGGAGGGGAAAGCGGGGGACCUGCAAGGGCCUCGCGCGAUUGGGUUGGCCGAUGUCCGAUUAGCUAGUUGGUGGGGUAAAGGCCCACCAAGGCGAUGAUCGGUAGCUGGUGUGAGAGGAUGAUCAGCCACACGGGGACUGAGACACGGCCCAGACUCCUACGGGAGGCAGCAGUGGGGAAUUUUGGACAAUGGGGGCAACCCUGAUCCAGCCAUUCCGCGUGAGUGAAGAAGGCCUUCGGGUUGUAAAGCUCUUUUGUCCGGAGCGAAACGGUUGUGGUGAAUAUCCACGACUACUGACGGUACCGGAAGAAUAAGCACCGGCUAACUACGUGCCAGCAGCCGCGGUAAAAC
rnacentral:rRNA from 1 species